AUAUAUAAGAGAUGAGAGAAAACGAAGGCACCGAAACGACGAAACCGAAAGCAAGACUUCAGAUAUAAAUCAACAGGAAGUGUAUGAGAGAAAUUUUGAGGAGGGAGCACGCCAACUAUACCUUAACGGAAAACGUAUUUUCCGGUGAGCUUGAAGAUAAGGAGGAAAGCGAGAGAUGAGAAGAGAUCGCGAGUGACUCGUCGUCGGAGUUACGGUUGAGGAGGUGUUUGGACGAUUCGUUGGAAGGAGAAGAGAAUGAAGCUGCCGGCGGUGAUGCCUCCCGUCUCCAGAUAAGCCUCCUUCUUUUCUUUUUUAGGGUUUUUUGAUGAUAUUGAUGUGUUCUUGCUGUGUUGUUCUGGUUUAGGAAAAAAUGCUUCUGUGUGUUCUUCGUGUUCUUGUUUAGGGUUUGAGAAAGAAAUAAUUUUGUCGUGCGGUUGCUGUUGUUGUUUUAGGGUUUUGAAAAAUAGCUUUGCUGCGUUUAUGUUGUUCUUGAUUUUGGGAAAAUCUCUUACUGUGAUGUGUUAUUCUUUAGGCUUUUUGAGAAAAAGUUGUUUUUCUGUUGUUGUUGUUGUUGUGGUUUUGACUUUUGAGAAGAAAUCUCUUACUGUGUAUCUUUCCUCUUAACGCCUCAUGAACGUUUUAUGAAGAAAAUUUCUCAGUUUUAAAAAACUCUUUUCUUUUUUCAAUUUGUCUCAUCCCAGAUUAUGUGGGAUUUGGUUUUUUCCUGUUUUAAGCUAAUGUUAAAAGUACCUUUUGGAUAUUUAGAUUAACCUUAUGGAUAAAGCUUCAAACUGAAUGAUUCAUUUAGUUGUUUUUCAGCUCUCUAAGUGCUUUUGAAAAGUGCUUUUAAAAUAAGCUAUUUUUGUUCUUUGUAGAUUACAACUCUGAGAUGACCUGCUGGAAUGGAAGGUGGCUGCUCCAAGCUUCAAGACAACCUGUUUUCGUGACCAAGUCCAAAGUGAUUUCAUCCUAAUUGCUUGGUUUUAGUCAUUAGGAACCUAUUUCCAUCUGUAACAAUUUUUACUGUAAUUACUUAGUUUAGUUUUUUUUAGACAAAAUGUGUGUUUGGAUUAUUUGGGACUUAUUGAAUUAAAUUUUAAUUAUGUAAUUA
rnacentral:lncRNA from 1 species